GAUGAACGCUAGCGGCAGGCCUAAUACAUGCAAGUCGAACGAUACAAGAGAGCUUGCUUUCUGGGAAAGUGGCGCAAGGGUGCGUAACGCGUAUGCAACCUACCUUAAUCAGGGGGAUAGCCCCUCGAAAGAGAGAUUAACACCGCUUAACAUCAUUUUACCGCAUCGUAAAAUGAACAAAUAUUUAUAGGAUUAAGAAGGGCAUGCGUGACAUUAGUUAGUUGGCGAGGUAACGGCUCAGCAAGGCUACGAUGUCUAGGGGAUAUGAGGGGAGGACCGCCCACACUGGUACUGAGACACGGACCAGACUCCUACGGGAGGCAGCAGUAAGGAAUAUUGGUCAAUGGAGGCAACUCUGAACCAGGCAUGCCGCGUGCAGGAAGACGGCCCUAUGGGUUGUAAACUGCUUUUAUACGGGAAUAAACCUCUCUACGUGUAGGGAGUUGAAUGUACUGUAAGAAUAAGGAUCGGCUAACUCCGUGCCAGCAGCCGCAGUAA
rnacentral:rRNA from 1 species